UACGAAGGGGGCUAGCGUUGCUCGGAAUUACUGGGCGUAAAGGGCGCGUAGGCGGACAGUUUAGUCAGAGGUGAAAGCCCAGGGCUCAACCUUGGAAUAGCCUUUGAUACUGACUGUCUUGAGUUCGGGAGAGGUGAGUGGAAUGCCGAGUGUAGAGGUGAAAUUCGUAGAUAUUCGGCGGAACACCAGUGGCGAAGGCGACUCACUGGCCCGAUACUGACGCUGAGGUGCGAAAGCGUGGGGAGCAAACAGG
rnacentral:rRNA from 1 species